rnacentral:rRNA from 1 species
AUUGAACGCUGGCGGCAGGCCUAACACAUGCAAGUCGAACGGUAACAGAAAGCAGCUUGCUGCUUUGCUGACGAGUGGCGGACGGGUGAGUAAUGUCUGGGAAACUGCCUGAUGGAGGGGGAUAACUACUGGAAACGGUAGCUAAUACCGCAUAACGUCGCAAGACCAAAGAGGGGGACCUUCGGGCCUCUUGCCGUCGGAUGUGCCCAGAUGGGAUUAGCUAGUAGGUGGGGUAAAGGCUCACCUAGGCGACGAUCCCUAGCUGGUCUGAGAGGAUGACCAGCCACACUGGAACUGAGACACGGUCCAGACUCCUACGAGAGGCAGCAGUGGGGAAUAUUGCACAAUGGGCGCAAGCCUGAUGCAGCCAUGCCGCGUGUAUGAAGAAGGCCUUCGGGUUGUAAAGUACUUUCAGCGGGGAGGAAGGGAGUAAAGUUAAUACCUUUGCUCAUUGACGUUACCCGCAGAAGAAGCACCGGCUAACUCCGUG